GAAAAGGGAGUGGAUUAUUCCUCCUGUAAAUAUACCAGAGAAUGAGGACUACACACAUAAGGACUAUAUUGCCAGAAUUCGAACUGACGCUGUGCCUCUUUCUGGAAAAGUCCUAUACUCGAUACAUGGGAAUGGUGUUGAUCAAGACCCUUUGAAUGUCUUUAUCGUUAAUCCAUACACCGGAUUUAUUAAAGUAACGGACACCCUGGACAGGGAGAAAAUCGCAAUGUACAAUCUUACAGGGAUUGCAAAAGACACAAACGGGGAAAUCCUGGAGAAGGAGAUUAAACUUCGUAUUGCAGUUAUAGACAAAAAU